rnacentral:rRNA from 1 species
CAGUAGCCGCGGUAAUACAGAGGGUGCAAGCGUUAAUCGGAAUUACUGGGCGUAAAGAGCGCGUAGGUGGUUAGUUAAGUUGGAUGUGAAAUCCCCGGGCUCAACCUGGGAACUGCAUUCAAAACUGACUGACUAGAGUAUGGUAGAGGGUGGUGGAAUUUCCUGUGUAGCGGUGAAAUGCGUAGAUAUAGGAAGGAACACCAGUGGCGAAGGCGACCACCUGGACUGAUACUGACACUGAGGUGCGAAAGCGUGGGGAGCAAACAGGAUUAGAUACCCCUGUAGUCCCUGUCUCUUAUAC